GACAGAGGGGGCAAGCGUUGCUCGGAAUUACUGGGCGUAAAGGGCGCGUAGGCGGAAUGGCAAGUCGGUCGUGAAAUCCUUCGGCUCAACCGAAGAACGUCGAUCGAAACUGCCGUUCUUGAGGAUUGCAGAGGAGACUGGAAUUCCCGGUGUAGCGGUGAAAUGUGUAGAGAUCGGGAGGAACACCGGUGGCGAAGGCGGGUCUCUGGGCAUCUCCUGACGCUGAGGCGCGAAAGCGUGGGGAGCAAACGGGG
rnacentral:rRNA from 1 species